UCGAUUCGCCUGUCUUUCUCUUCUCACUCUUCUCGCCUCCCUUCAGAAUAUGACCAUACAUGCACUGUUGACGUUCUAAUUGAACAAGCAGAGUGCAUGUGCAACCAAGAGAACGCAGAGAAACAUGCGACUAAUGUGUCCUC
ensembl:ncRNA F14H12.10 ncRNA